ensembl:miRNA microRNA 499
GGGCAGGAGGCGGUUAAGACUUGCAGUGAUGUUUAACUGCUCUCCACGUGACGUGAACAUCACAGCAAGUCUGUGCUGCCUCCU